ACUGGCAGAGCUCUUAAUGAAGCUGGGCUGCAAACUGCAGGAGAGACGGCGCUGGUGGGCCAUGCACUCAGGCCAAGAGUAAGCUUUCCUCAAAAGCCGUGAGACUGAUGGUAGAAUGUGGACCUGAUUCCAGACAAGUGUUCUUGAUAAGCACGUGUGAAAUAUUAUUUGUGAAAGAGAGGAGCAGUCGGGUCAUCUGGAGAGCGUGCCGUUGGCUGGUGUGAAGUCACGAGAGCCAGAGCAGGAUACAGGCUGGAACACACACGCUGGUGGAAAGGGUGCUAAAACUCCAUGAUGAUUAAGAGGUCAGCACCCCUCAAGGACUCCAGAGGGGAAAAAGGAGAGACAGGAAGUGGAGAGCAGUCACAGCGUGCGGGGCAUGCCAGGGGAUGGAACAGCCAUGAGCUGGGCCUGGAAGGCCAGCUGUGCUAUGAGGCAUGCAGAAGGGAAGGAGGAGCAGCUGCACCCGAGGAGAGCAGCACUGGCAAGACGCUGAACUGGAAUCUACCCUGUGAAGUUGUUCGCUACUGGAGAAGUGAACCUACCUUGUGGACUCACACGACUUCAUUCUUUGUGUCUUCCCAGUUUGCAAAGCUGGCACCCUCCCUAUCACAGUGGACUCUUAAGGUCCUUGUGAAGGGGCUUUCUUUAGUGUCCUCAGUUUACACACAAGGACAGCAAGGCGCAGAGAGGGAGGGGACUAUCAUUUGGGUUUGA
rnacentral:lncRNA from 1 species